UUGGAAGCUAUGAUGGUAACAACUACCUAUUUUAUGAGGUAAGAGCGUUUAUUCGCUCAUGAUUAAGAAAUUUCCAAUGGAUCCUUCUGAGCUUCCU